AUGCAUAGUGCUGAGUCCACUGCACCACGAGCCGUCAUUUAUACAUGGUCCUUAGAAAGGAGCCGAGGUCUACUUCAAUCAAAGUGAAAAUUGAGCAGGAAGGAUUUGUAUGCAGUAUUGGUAUCCCGCCAUAAACGCCAAGUCACCAGCCGACAAUUUUCACCGAGGAGCCAAGAAAAUUCGCCGCAACAGGACAAGAGACCAAUAGUUGAGCACAAGUUCUACCGAUCAUUCAACAAUUCAAAAUAGAAACCUAUAGAAUCAUUCAAGAUAAUAUCGUCAAUCAAGUCAACAAAAUUGCCGCCUUUUCAUUUCCCGCGUUGUUGCCAAGCCAAUCUUCGCGCGCCGCAGGCUGCCCUCCUAUUGGCCAAUCAAGUUAGCCCGCCGCCUUGCUGCUUUAUCGACAACGACGACGCCAUCAGCAUCACGCCGCGCCACUUCCCUGUACCGACCGUGGUGACAUUUUGUUUUGCUUCCGUUUGCGUCUCUUCGACGAAAAAUACCUUUUUAGUUUUUAGUUAAUUUCUGUUCGCAAGUUUUUAUUUGACUAUAAGUGAAAACAUUGUAUAGUAUAGUACUUCAGUCUAAAAAUGUCGGAAACCGAUUCCGAUAGAUGUGAAACAAUGGAAUCCAAUAUGACAACUAUGGCGUCUGCGUCUUCUAUGGCCGCAAAUGUUAAAGCGCUCCAAAGAAAGCGUGCUGCGUUAACAAAACAUUAUAAUUAUUUUAACGAUAUUGAAAAUGUUGACCGGGACCGUGAAGCCCUACUUAUCAGGGAGGAACGCUUACGGGCUACAUUUGAAAAAUUCGAUGAAAUUAAUUUAGAAAUUUGCGCAACAGACCCCAAAGCCGGUGAUUCUGGCGAUGUGGAAAGCAAAUUCCUUGAAGUGAUUACAUUAAUUAAAAAGCUUAUGGUCAAUAGCGCCACUCGCCCUUCAGCGCAGCCGCCUUCAAGGCACAAAUUGCCUCAAAUAAGUGUACCAACAUUUACAGAUAAUAGAGCACUUGCAUUAGAGAAUGCAGAGCGACAAGUACACCCUUCUACAAGCCCGAAGGUCGUACACACGGUAACUAUGAUGAAGAAGCCGUCUUCACCUCAAGUCUGCAUACUAUGUGCUGCUACCGCCUGAGCGUCAUGAUGUCCACCGCUUAGUGCAGGAUGCAGGCACACCGAGCACAUCUGUUUCGCUACCAGUUUUUCGCACUCAAUUUGGUUAUGUUGUAGCAGGAUCACUUCCUUCUGCUUUGCAUGCACAUCCGGUAACUUCUUUAUUUUGCAACAAAUGUGAUGACUCCUUAAAUGAAACUCUCACUCAAUUUUGGAAAACUGAGAGUGUUCCUGAGUUUUUUACUGAAAGUUUACCUGAACAUCAAGCUUGUGAGAAAUUAUUUUGUGAUACUGUAACUUUAGACACUAAAACCAAUAAGUUUCAAGUUGCCUUACCUCUUAAGUUACCGUUAGAGUCUGUCAAUCAAACACUUGGUCAUUCUUUUAAUUUAGCUUUAAAAAGGUUUUAUAAUUUGGAAGCUAGGCUUCAAAAGGAUUCCUAUCUUUUCAAGCUUUAUAGUGAAUUCAUACAUGACUACAUACAACAAGGUCAUGGCACAAUCAUCAAUAUCAGUCAAUAUGACCUUUCUACUGAUCCUGUGUAUUUCAUGCCACAUCAUCCUGUUCUCAGGCUUGACAAAAAAUCUACAAAAUGUCGUGUAGUUUUCAAUGGCUCAAUGAAAACAAGUAAUAAGGUGUCACUGAAUGAUUUGCAAUUAAAUGGCCCUGUAGUCCAAAAAGAUUUAGUAGAUGUCUUGCUGUUGUUUAGAGUUGACAAAUACAUUUUUAUAUCUGAUAUCAAAAGUAUGUUCAGACAAAUUUCAUUAGAUCCAAAGUAUAGAUCAUUACAAAAUAUCCUUUGGAGGGACACCCCCAAGGAAGAUAUAAAAUGUAUACAAUUAAAUACCGUAACGUAUGGUCUUAAAAGCUCUUCAUAUCUGGCUACACGAUGUUUAAAAGAACUGGCAAAUAGAUAUAAAAAAGAUUUUCCUUUAGCCGCAUUCAUCAUUGAAAAUUCUAUGUAUGUAGAUGAUGCACUUGUUUCUCAAAGUAGCCCACAGUUAUUAGUUGAGUCUAAGAAGCAACUAUGCAGUCUUUUAGAAAUUGGUGGAUUUUAUUUACACAAGUGGUACUCAAAUUAUCCACAACUGCUAGAAAGUAUCCCAAAACCGUUUCAGCAUUUUGAUGAUGUUGAUUUGGAGAAAAAUAAUGUUUCUUUAAAAACUCUAGGAGUCAAAUAUAAUGUAAACACAGAUUCUUUUAUGCUUUCAUGCCCUAACAAGGACUCUGUCAUGCCCGCUUCCAAACGUGAUAUAUUAAGUUUUAUUGGAAGUUUUUACGAUCCCUUGGGUUUUGCUGGACCCGUGGUAGUAAAAGCUAAGGUCAUUAUGCAAAGGCUAUGGCAUGCACAAGUCGGCUGGGAUGAAGAACCCACCGGCGAUUUACUUAGCGCAUGGUGUGAAUUUUACAAAAGUUUGCUAUCUAUGACACCAGUUGCAACACCACGCUACAUUCAUUUAAACAACGCUUAUUCUGUUCAUAUAAUAGGUUUUGCUGAUGCUGCGAGUUCUACAGCCUAUGGUUGCUGCAUUUACUUGAGGGUCACCGAUGACUCAGGUAAUGUGAAAGUUUCUUUACUCUGUUCAAAGUCGCGUGUGAAUCCAUUAAAGCAAGCCCUUACUAUACCAAGACUCGAACUUAACGCGGCAUUAUUGCUUGCAAAGCUAGCCGCUAGAGUGUAUGAUAUUUUGAAACUCAAAUUAAAAAUUGAUGACAUUAUCUUGUAUUCAGAUUCCCAGAUUGUAUUAGCAUGGAUUCAAACUAAUGUAAAUAAGCUAGACACAUAUGUGGCAAACAGAGUAAAGGUAAUUUCACAACUCACUUCCUCAUAUACUUGGUCUUACAUUAGUUCUGAUGAAAAUCCUGCAGACUGUCUAAGCAGAGGCUUAAUGCCAGGUGAGUUGUCAAGUCAUCCGUUGUGGUGGCGAGGUUCAAGUGCUAUAAACACUUGCGAUUAUAAAUCAGAAAACUGGUCUGAGCCGCAUCCUACUUCACUGGACAGCCCUGCGUUCUCUCAUGCAUUGUUUUGUACUGUUUCAAACGAACAAGUAUUAUGUUUAGAUUUUCUUUAUAAAUAUUCUAAUAUCAAUAAAAUGCAACGCGUAUUAGCCUACAUACUACGUUUUGUUGAGAAUGCAAAGCCUAAGGUGGUCAAAAAUAGGUUAAGCUAUUUAACAAGUAAGGAAUUAAGUGAUUCUUUAUUUUUAAUUAUUAAGUAUGAACAACAAAGUCAUUUAAAAAAUGAUAUCUGUAGUUUAAAAUGUAAGAAUGAAAUUGUUAAGGGUGAUUUAAAGCCAUUGUGUCCAUUUAUUGAUGACAGAGGUCUGUUGAGAGUAGGUGGCCGUUUAAAGAAUGCUUCUAUUCCAUAUUCUCAAAAACACCCGGUUGUUUUGCCUAAGAAUUCUCGCAUAACAGAUUUGAUUAUUCAAAGUGAACAUUUAAAAUGUCUCCAUGCAGGACCUAGGUUACUUCUGUCAACAAUAAAUCAAAGAUUUUGGAUUGUACAUGGCAUCAGACAGAUUAAAAAGGUUAUACAUAAGUGUAUUGUAUGUUUUAAAUUAAAGGCCAAUGCUGCAAGGCAAUUGAUGGGUUCGUUGCCUCACGAUCGAGUAAAUGUAUGCAGAGUAUUCCAAAAAGUUGGGUUAGAUUUUGCUGGCCCGAUUAUGAUAAAGCAAUCUAGACUAAGAAAAGCCCUAGAAACUAAAGCUUACGUGUGUGUAUUUGUAUGCUUUGCCACUAAGGCAAUACAUUUAGAAUUAGCAUCUGAUUUAAGAACAGAAACAUUUCUAGCCUGUUUGAAAAGGUUUAUUGCACGCAGAGGUUUACCCACUGACAUUUACAGUGAUAAUGCGUCAACUUUUAAAUCUGCAAGUAGACAGUUAAAUGAUUUAUAUAAGUUAAAAAAUUGUAAAGAUUCUCAGAAGGAAAUUCAUACUUUUUCAUCGCAAAAUAACAUAUCUUUCCAUUUCCUGCCUUGUUACUCGCCUACAUUCGCAGGUUUGGCAGAAUCCGGCGUGAAAAGUAUGAAGUUCCAUCUGAAAAGAGUGGUUCAAAAAAUCUUAUUAACAUAUGAAGAAUUAAAUACUGUACUAUGUCAAAUAGAAGCCAUGUUAAAUAGUAGACCACUCAUGCCAUUGUCAGCAGAUAUAAAUGAUUUUUUGUAUCUCACACCGGGUCAUUUUAUAAUAGGAGAUGCUUUAAACAGCUAUCCAGAACCCAAUGUAACGAUUUCAAAUGAUAAUUUAAAAUUUUGGAAACAAUGCACUUGCAUUAGAAACUCCUUUUGGAGAAUCUGGAGUAAAAAUUAUUUAAAUAUGUUGCAGUCACGCCCAAAAUGGAGAGAUUCUCAUGUUAAUGUAAAAGUAGGUUCAUUAGUAAUUUUAAGAGAAGACAACACGUCACCUAUGUUUUGGCCGAUGGCCAGAGUCACACAGGUCUUUCCUGGGACAGACAAUAAGGUUAGAGUUGUUGAAGUAGUGACUCCAACUCGGAACACUCACAAGCGCUCCAUAACAAAAAUUAGUGUUUUACCCAUCUAACCUUUCUUAUUGUUAUAAAUAAAUUUAUCCUCUAUAAAUAGGCAGUGUUCAUAGUUAGGUAUACGUAUGACAACCUCAUAGUUUAUUUAUUUGUUUUUUUUUUGUUAUAAACAAGUAGUUUUUAUUUUUAUUUAUACUGAUAGUCAAUAUGUUAAGUAUUUUGCAGUGUCAAAAUAAGAUUGAUAUUCAAUAACUUUUAGUUAGAUAAUUUAAUUGUGCAUAUGUAUCACAUAAUCUUUAAUAAAUAUUGUAAAGUGAGCAUGCAUGUUGUUCAAAUUAUUCAUUUAAUGUUUGCUGCGCUUUGUCCUACAAACACUUCGUUUGCCGGGCAGCAUGUUGGAAAUCCCAACACUAAAUUAUAUUUUUAUUUUUUUUACUAUAGCAACAUUUACGCUCACAUUAAAAAUAAUGCUCUCUUCCUUUUUGUCUCCAUUGCCAAUAAAAAGUUCUCCCAAGUAA